rnacentral:rRNA from 1 species
AUUGAACGCUGGCGGCAUGCUUUACACAUGCAAGUCGAACGGUAACAGGUUAAGCUGACGAGUGGCGAACGGGUGAGUAAUGCAUCGGAACGUGCCCGAUCGUGGGGGAUAACACUUCGAAAGAAGUGCUAAUACCGCAUACGAUCUGAGGAUGAAAGCGGGGGACCGUAAGGCCUCGCGCGAUCGGAGCGGCCGAUGUCAGAUUAGGUAGUUGGUGGGGUAAAGGCUCACCAAGCCGACGAUCUGCAGCUGGUCUGAGAGGACGACCAGCCACACUGGGACUGAGACACGGCCCAGACUCCUACGGGAGGCAGCAGUGGGGAAUUUUGGACAAUGGGCGCAAGCCUGAUCCAGCAAUGCCGCGUGCAGGAAGAAGGCCUUCGGGUUGUAAACUGCUUUUGUACGGAGCGAAAAGGCUCCCUCUAAUACAGGUGGCUCACGACGGUACCGUAAGAAUAAGCACCGGCUAACUACGUGCCAGCAGCCGCCGUAA